UCGUCAGCUCGUGUCGUGAGAUGUUGGGUUAAGUCCCGCAACGAGCGCAACCCUUGCCUUUAGUUGCCAGCAUUAAGUUGGGCACUCUAGAGGGACUGCCAGGGAUAACCUGGAGGAAGGUGGGGAUGACGUCAAAUCAUCAUGCCCCUUAUGCUUAGGGCUACACACGUGCUACAAUGGGUGGUACAGAGGGCAGCCAAGUCGUGAGGCGGAGCUAAUCCCUUAAAGCCAUUCUCAGUUCGGAUUGUAGGCUGAAACUCGCCUACAUGAAGCUGGAGUUACUAGUAAUCGCAGAUCAGAAUGCUGCGGUGAAUGCGUUCCCGGGUCUUGUACACACCGCCCGUCACACCACGGGAGUUGGGGGCGCCCGAAGCCGGAUUGCUAACCUUUUGGAAGCGUCCGUCGAAGGUGAAAUCAAUAACUGGGGUGAAGUCGUAACAAGGUAGCCGUA
rnacentral:rRNA from 1 species